GUUAAGAUAAGGCUAGCAUCUCAUUGAAUUUUUUCGGUCUCAUAAGGCACGAACAAGUUGUCGAUGGUCCUAUAACCUUUUUCUCCCGUUGAGUUUAUAUUGCUUGGGAGAUCCUUUUUCCCUUGGCCUAAGAUACUACUUAACUCCUAGAUCCUUGAUGAGCUGAGUGAAGUCAAAUGGUUGAGGCUCUCCUUAAUUUUUAGUCGGGUG
rnacentral:misc_RNA from 1 species